rnacentral:rRNA from 1 species
ACGGAAGGCAGCAGUAGGGAAUAUUGCACAAUGGGGGAAACCCUGAUGCAGCAACGCCGCGUGAUUGAUGAAGGCCUUCGGGUUGUAAAGAUCUGAUCUAAGGGAAGAAACAAAUGACGGUACCUUAGGAGAAAGCCCCGGCUAACUACGUGCCAGCAGCCGCGGUAAUACGUAGGGGGCAAGCGUUAUCCGGAAUUAUUGGGCGUAAAGAGUGCGUAGGUGGUUACCUAAGCGCAAGGUUUAAUCUUGAGGCUUAACCUCAUUCUGCCUUGCGAACUGUGCUACUUGAGUGCAGGAGGGGAAAGCGGAAUUCCUAGUGUAGCGGUGAAAUGCGUAGAUAUUAGGAAGAACACCGGAGGCGAAGGCGGCUUUCUUGACUGUAACUGACACUGAGGCACGAAAGCGUGGGGAGCAAACAGGAUUAAAUACCCUGGUA